rnacentral:rRNA from 1 species
GUAGGUGGCAAGCGUUGUCCGGAAUUAUUGGGCGUAAAGCGCGCGCAGGCGGUUCUUUAAGUCUGAUGUGAAAGCCCACGGCUCAACCGUGGAGGGUCAUUGGAAACUGGAGAACUUGAGUACAGAAGAGGAAAGCGGAAUUCCACGUGUAGCGGUGAAAUGCGUAGAGAUGUGGAGGAACACCAGUGGCGAAGGCGGCUUUCUGGUCUGUAACUGACGCUGAGGCGCGAAAGCGUGGGGGAGCAAACAGGAUUAGAUACCCUGGUAGUCCACGCCGUAAACGAUGAGUGCUAAGUGUUAGGGGGUUUCCGCCCCUUAGUGCUGCAGCUAACGCGUUAAGCACUCCGCCUGGGAGUACGGCCGCAAGGCUG